GGGGAUGCACUGGCUUCGACGGGGGUUGCGAAAUCGUCUGGCGCAUGCCGAGGGGGUAGCUUUCCUCGCUAAUCCAGCUGCAAAACUCAUAGUUGCCAACGACGACAA
rnacentral:tmRNA from 1 species